rnacentral:ncRNA from 1 species
GUGUUGUAUGAAAGGAGAGAAGGUUAGCACUCCCCAUGACAAGGAUGGAAAAGGCUCUCAGGCCUGACAACACACAUAGGGUUAAGGCAUUGCCAUCUAACUCCAUGGCACCUAACCACCAUUUUUU